rnacentral:misc_RNA from 1 species
UUGUGGAGGAGGACGCCGAAGGUGGGGCUAAUGACUGGGGUGAAGUCGUAACAAGGUAGCCGUACCGGAAGGUGCGGCUGGAUCACCUCCUAACAGGGAGACAACAAAAUGUUUAAUAUUAUUUUGUCACCUUAGGUCGAUCGGUAUCUCAUGUUCUUAAUUUAUUAAGAAUUUCAUUUCCUAAGUUUUUCUAGGUCACACCCAUUAUUUUCCUGGGCCAUUAGCUCAGGUGGUUAGAGCGCACCCCUGAUAAGGGUGAGGUCCCUGGUUCAAGUCCAGGAUGGCCCAUAUCUCUAUGUUGGGGGUAUAGCUCAGUUGGUAGAGCGCCUGCUUUGCAAGCAGGAUGUCAGCGGUUCGAGUCCGCUUACCUCCACUGAUUACCACCUCUUCCAUAAUCUGUAGAAAGGAAAAUUUUGAGUUGUGAUCAUAUUUCUGAACGAAUCUAGCUUCCUAAUGAAACCAUUAAGAUGCUGGACUCAUUGAAUUAACUUCAUUGUUUUCAGAGAACCUUGACAACUGCAUAGAUUAUUUUUAAAGACAAUAAGCAUCUUUAAUGAUGCAGAUUUAUUAUUUGUGCGAAUGCAUUAAUAACAAUUUUAUUAAGCUGAUGCUUCAAUUAUGAAGUUAUUGGUCAAGCUACAA